AGGCUACUGCUAUUGGAAUUCGACUAAGCCAUGCGAGUCAAGGUGUCUUCGGACGCCGGCAAACGGCUCAGUAACACGUAGGUAAUCUACCCUCAGGACUGAGAUAACCCCGGGAAACUGGGGCUAAUACCAGAUAGAUAAAAGAUACUGGAAUGUUCUUUUAUCCAAAGCUUUUGUGCCUGAGGAUGAGCCUGCGCCCGAUUAGGUAGUUGGUGGGGUAAUGGCCCACCAAGCCUGCGAUCGGUACGGGCAGUGGGAGCUGGAGCCCGGAGAUGGGCACUGAGACAAGGGCCCAGGCCCUACGGGGCGCAGCAGUCGCGAAAACUUUGCAAUACACGAAAGUGUGACAGGGCUAUCCCGAGUGCCAUCCGCUGAGGAAGGCUUUUACCCAGUCUAGAAAGCUGGGGGAAUAAGGAGAGGGCAAGUCUGGUGUCAGCCGCCGCGGUAAUACCAGCUCUCCGAGUGGUGUGGAUGUUUAUUGGGCCUAAAGCAUCCGUAGCUGGCUAAGUUAGUCCCCUGUUAAAUCCAAUGAAUUAAUUGUUGGAUCGCGGGGGAUACUGCUUGGCUAGGGGACGAGAGAGGCAGACGGUAUUUCCGGGGUAGGGGUGAAAUCCUAUAAUCCCGGGAAGACCACCAGUGGCGAAGGCUGUCUGCUAGAACGCGCCCGACGGUGAGGGAUGAAAGCUGGGGGAGCGAACCGGAUUAGAUACCCGGGUAGUCCCAGCUGUAAACGAUGCAGGCUAGGUGUUUGGACGGCCACGUGCCGUUCUAGUGCCGCAGGGAAGCUGUUAAGCCUGCCGCCUGGGGAGUACGAUCGCAAGAUUGAAACUUAAAGGAAUUGGCGGGGGAGCACCACAAGGGGUGAAGCUUGCGGUUUAAUUGGAGUCAACGCCGGAAAUCUCACCGGGAGCGACAGCAGUGUGAAGGCCAGAUUAAAGGUCUUGCCAGACGAGCUGAGAGGAGGUGCAUGGCCGUCGCCAGUUCGUGCCGUGAGGUGUCCUGUUAAGUCAGGCAACGAUCGAGACCCGCGUCCUCUGUUGCUACUAGCCCUGAGCUGGGCACACUGAGGAGACCGCCACUGAUAAAGUGGAGGAAGGAGCGGGCCACGGCAGGUCAGUAUGCCCCGAAUCUCCCGGGCCACACGCGAGCUGCAAUGGCAGGUACAAUGGGUUCCGACCUCGAAAGAGGGAGGCAAUCUCGAAAGCCUGCCGUAGUUGGGAUCGAAGGCUGAAACCCGCCUUCGUGAACAUGGAAUCCCUAGUAAUCGCGUGUCAUCAGCGCGCGGUGAAUACGUCCCUGCUCCU
rnacentral:rRNA from 1 species